rnacentral:rRNA from 1 species
GGGGAAAGCUAACAUGCAGUCGAACGGGGUGCCUUUGACAGAGGAUUCGUCCAAUGGAUAAGGUUACCUAGUGGCGGACGGGUGAGUAACGCGUGAGUAACCUGCCCUGGAGUGGGGAAUAACAGCUGGAAACAGCUGCUAAUUCCGGAUAACAACACUAGACGCAUGUCUAGAGUUUGAAAGAUGGUUCUGCUAUCACUCUUGGAUGGACCUGCGGUGCAUUAGCUAGUUGGUAAGGUAACGGCUUACCAAGGCAAUGAUGCAUAGCCGAGUUGAGAGACUGAUCGGCCACAUUGGGACUGAGACACGGCCCAAACUCCUACGGGAGGCAGCAGUAGGGAAUCUUCCACAAUGGACGAAAGUCUGAUGGAGCAACGCCGCGUGAGUGAAGAAGGGUUUCGGCUCGUAAAGCUCUGUUGGUAGUGAAGAAAGAUAGAGGUAGUAACUGGCCUUUAUUUGACGGUAAUUACUUAGAAAGUCACGGCUAACUACGUGCCAGCAGCCGCGGUAAUACGUAGGUGGCAAGCGUUGUCCGGAUUUAUUGGGCGUAAAGCGAGUGCAGGCGGUUCAAUAAGUCUGAUGUGAAAGCCUUCGGCUCAACCGGAGAAUUGCAUCAGAAACUGUUGAACUUGAGUGCAGAAGAGGAGAGUGGAACUCCAUGUGUAGCGGUGGAAUGCGUAGAUAUAUGGAAGAACACCAGUGGCGAAGGCGGCUCUCUGGUCUGCAACUGACGCUGAGGCUCGAAAGCAUGGGUAGCGAACAGGAUUAGAUACCCUGGUAGUCCAUGCCGUAAACGAUGAGUGCUAAGUGUUGGGAGGUUUCCGCCUCUCAGUGCUGCAGCUAACGCAUUAAGCACUCCGCCUGGGGAGUACGACCGCAAGGUUGAAACUCAAAGGAAUU